UACGGGGGGGGCAAGCGUUGUUCGGAAUUACUGGGCGUAAAGGGCUCGUAGGUGGCCAACUAAGUCAGACGUGAAAUCCCUCAGCUUAACUGGGGAACUGCGUCUGAUACUGGCGGACUUGAGGACAGGAGAGGAACGCGGAAUUCCAGGUGUAGCGGUGAAAUGCGUAGAGAUGUGGAGGAAUACCGAUGGCGAAGGCAGCCUCCUGGGCCAACACUGACGCUCAUGCACGAAAGCGUGGGGAGCAAACAGG
rnacentral:rRNA from 1 species